rnacentral:lncRNA from 1 species
AAUUACGAUUAAGCAUCGAGUUCCCUAUGCCACCCUAAAACCACCACAACCACAGUACCACAUCGUAAUCCCUGCAAGGAACGAUGAACCCACCUGAAGGCCAUCAAUUUGAAAAAAAAUACCUUUGAUUUCGAAUUAUUUGAGCAAAAUCGAAAUAGAAAGCAAAAUGACGUGGAAGAGGGCGACACUAUAUAGAAGGGAAAUAAGGGAUCAAACAUGUUGGAAUCAAUGAAACCUACAAAUUGUAGUAGGACAUUUAGGGUUUCCUGUGAAACCAAAAUCAACAUACCUGCUAUCAUGGACAAAGGGACUCAUGGUGAUUUCUAUGAUGCUACAUCAAGUGAUGGUAGAGGGGCCAUGUCUUCAACAUAAAUGCAAAUGUUUGCUGAGAUAGGGGCGGCGUAGGGGGUGGUGAGCUUUUUCUGAAGUCCUUU